CAGCACAUUUUCAUAUCUUGCUCUUAGUCCCAGAGAGCAGUGAUAUUUUCAUUGUGCUAAAGUAAAGCUGGAGGUUAAUUAGCAGAUGGUCUAACCACAUUACCAUAACUGCCAGUCCCCUCCAUACAUUU